UUUGCUCAAUGGGCGAAAGCCUGANCAGCAACGCCGCGUGCACGAUGAAGGCCUUCGGGUCGUAAAGUGCUUUUCUGCGAGAUGAGAAAGGACAGUAUCGUAGGAAUAAGUCUCGGCUAACUACGUGCCAGCAGCCGCGGUAAAACGUAGGAGGCGAGCGUUAUCCGGAUUCACUGGGCGUAAAGCGCGUGCAGGUGGCGCGGUAAGUUGGGUGUGAAAUCUCCCGGCUCAACUGGGAGAGGUCAUUCAAUACUACCGUGCUUGAGAGCAGAAGAGGAAGAUGGAAUUCCCGGUGUAGUGGUGAAAUGCGUAGAUAUCGGGAGGAACACCAGUGGCGAAGGCGAUCUUCUGGUCUGUUUCUGACACUCAGACGCGACAGCUAGGGUAGUAAACGGGAUUAGAGACCCCGGUAAUCCUAGCCGUAAACGAUGUGAACUUGGCGUUGGUGGGUUAAACUCCAUCAGUGCCGCAGCAAACGCGAUAAGUUCACCGCCUGGGGACUACGGCCGCAAGGUUAAAACUCAAAGGAAUUGACGGA
rnacentral:rRNA from 1 species